CGUAGGGUGCGAGCGUUAAUCGGAAUUACUGGGCGUAAAGCGUGCGCAGGCGGUUACAUAAGACAGAUGUGAAAUCCCCGGGCUCAACCUGGGAACUGCGUUUGUGACUGUGUGACUAGAGUGCGGCAGAGGGGGGUGGAAUUCCUGGUGUAGCAGUGAAAUGCGUAGAUAUCAGGAGGAACAUCGAUGGCGAAGGCAGCCCCCUGGGCCUGUACUGACGCUCAUGCACGAAAGCGUGGGGAGCAAACAGGAUUAGAUACCCUGGUAGUCCACGCCCUAAACGAUGUCGACUAGUUGUUCGGGAAGGUGACUUCUUGAGUAACGUAGCUAACGCGUGAAGUCGACCGCCUGGGGAGUACGGCCGCAAGGUUA
rnacentral:rRNA from 1 species